AUUUAUAUAGUUUAAUCAUUUAAAACCCCUUAAUUUCAAUAAGGAGACAAGAUAAUUUAUCUUUAUAAAUA
rnacentral:tRNA from 1 species